rnacentral:rRNA from 1 species
AACGAACGCUGGCGGCAUGCCUAACACAUGCAAGUCGAACGAGACCUUCGGGUCUAGUGGCGCACGGGUGCGUAACGCGUGGGAACCUGCCCUUAGGUUCGGAAUAACUCCCCGAAAGGGGUGCUAAUACCGGAUAAUGUCUUCGGACCAAAGAUUUAUCGCCUUUGGAUGGGCCCGCGUUGGAUUAGCUAGUUGGUAGGGUAAAAGCCUACCAAGGCGACGAUCCAUAGCUGGUCUGAGAGGAUGAUCAGCCACACUGGGACUGAGACACGGCCCAGACUCCUACGGGAGGCAGCAGUGGGGAAUAUUGGACAAUGGGCGAAAGCCUGAUCCAGCAAUGCCGCGUGAGUGCUGAAGGCCUUAGGGUUGUAAAGCUCUUUUGCCCGGGAUGAUAAUGACAGUACCGGGAGAAUAAGCUCCGGCUAACUCCGUG